UCCGUAGGUGAACCUGCGGAAGGAUCAUUAAAAGUUUUAGUUAUACUUCACGUAUAUACUUUAAUAAACCCAUUCCGAGUACCUUACCCGUUUGCUUCCGUGGAGCAGGACCUCGGUCCGUUCUGACUAUGCCCUUGCGGCGUACGAUGAGUCGUCUCCACGGGAGGUAUACAUUAAACUCUUGCAUUUCCAUGUCAUCUGUCUGAAUACUGUUUAUAACAAAUGUUAAAACUUUCAACAACGGAUCUCUUGGUUCUCGCAUCGAUGAAGAACGCAGCGAAAUGCGAUAAGUAGUGUGAAUUGCAGAAUUCAGUGAAUCAUCGAAUCUUUGAACGCACAUUGCGCCUCCUGGUAUUCCGGGAGGCAUGCCUGUUCGAGCGUCAUUAAAAACCACUCAAGCCUGGCUCGGUGUUGGGCGAUGGGACCGCACCCGCGCCCCUAUUCUACCGGCAGGACGGUUGGAUCCUCAGCGUUGUGAAUCAAAUUCGCUCGGGGUGAAGGUCGGCCGCGCUGUUAAACCAUUCCAUUCAGGUUGACCUCGGAUCGGGGGUAGGGGAUACCCGGCUGGAACUUAAGGGCAUAUCAAUAAGGCGGGGAGGGGAA
rnacentral:rRNA from 1 species